CCCAGGACCCCGGACCAGGAGGGUCUGAGCUGCUUAAAGCGAUGGCGGCUUGUCUCGUCAGCCAGGCAAAUGUUCUGGCAGCGAUGGUCCCGGGAGUAUGUGCUGGGAUUGCAAUCGUCGCCGAGGACAACCUGCCCCCUCAACAGUGGCUCCUCGGAAGGGUGGUCGGAACAACCGCCGGGCAAGACGGAAGGGUCAGAGUGGUCGACCUAAGGACGAGCGGCGGAGCCACGUUCAGGAGGCUAAUCCACAAGUUGGCGCUUCUGCCACUGGUUUUUCCAGGCCUUCAACGGGGCCGGUGUAGCGCCAUUUGGCGUAUAAUAAUUGUUAUUAGGAUCGUAUUUUAUGAAGUCUGGUGUAAGUUAGGCUAGGGCAAAGCGGGAGGUCAAUAAAAGCCCGCCCUCUCGCUCUUGGCGAAUUCGCCCCGCUUUGCCACCGUAGGUAAGAUAGGCGCAGAAGAAAUUGUUUGAAUAUAUGAAGAGGAGUCGAGAAAAACCUAUGAAAACGAACGGACGCACCCAAGUUUUUCGGUAUCUUUUAUUUAGAAAAACUAUUCUAAAUUUUCAGACACUUCGUUUUUGCAUCUUGCAGAGUUCGAAAAAUGGUGUUUAGAUUUUAAGUAUGGGAUUUGUUGUCUUUACUAAAUAAUAUGAUGUCAUCAAUAUAAAUAUGACAUAUCUUUCCAAUAUGUUUAUGUAGAGUGUCAUCGAGUGCGCGUUGAAAUAUUGCAUUUUGAAGACCAAAGGGGAGUCCUGUAAACUCAUAUUUUCCGUUGUUAACGGAGAAAGCUGUUUUUUCUAAAUCCACUUUCCACAAACUGCAUUCAGUUUUUCAAUUAUUUAUAGGGUCUAUUCACUAGCUUACGGUAAGGUUAGGGAUGUGGCCGUUACUUCAGAUGGUCCGAGCAUAUUCCUUUUUGCGGACGAAGUCCUUGUUCUUUAUUUGACGAAUAAUUGAAGACUGCUUGAUUGAAGACCGCGACCGCGGAAUGUUGCAGCGAUCCAACGACAGCAGUUCAACCGCGGCGAGGUAUUUCUCAGAAUCCCUCGCCGUUGGGAGAUAUCGUCCAGACGCUGAUCCAGAAAUUUUGGCGAUUUGGAGCGGCACGUGUCGGUUGCUGGUGUUUUGGCAACAUUGUCGCUAACAAGUGAGAGGAAUCGCAGGACUACAAAACUCUGCCAACCUGGCUAACAUGCACACAGCCUUUGGAAUGCCUCCAUUCGUCUGGAAACUCGACUGGUACAUCGUCACACCGAAAUACUAUUACCAAUAAGUCAAAUCGUCUUUCUAAUCACCAAAUAAACUCGUCGUUUGCUAUCACUAAUCCGUCUUGUACACAGUGUUCUAGUUCUGGCCAUAAGAUCACUAGCUGCCCUCAGUUCAAGGCUAUGAACAGCAACCAACGGUACGACAAUGCAAAGCGCCUCGGUCUCUGCAUCAAUUGUCUUAGAAACAGUCAUAGAGUGGCACAAUGUUUUAUCGACUCAUCGUUGCUGAUCCUGUAAUCGGACUCAUCAUUCUGUUUGCAUUAGCCUCCACAAUCAUCAGCAGGACAAUCUUUAACGACAGAACCGGUACUCCAACCAGCGAAACCCUGGCAAACGUCUGCUACUCAGGCUCAUCAAGCUGCUUCACACUCUCAUAUGGAGAUCGCAGCAAAAUGAUCAAAUUUUGUUGGCAACAGCUAUGGUGUUGGUAAAGAAUGCCUCAGGUGAAUACAAACUCGGUAGAGCGUUGCUUGAUACAUGUUAUCAGGUUAAUUUUGUAACCGAAACGUUUGCACCAAAACAUCGCCUUCGUCGUGAAAGACACCACAUUGGAAUUCGUAGUUUAGGAGACUCCCUUACUAGUUUGAAGGCUCUUACGACUACCUCUGUUAAGUAUACAUAUGGCUAUCAGCUCACUCUCAAGAUUUGAAUUACAUCCCAUAUUGCCUACCAGCCAGACAGUGAGAUCGACAAAUCGAAUUCGAACCAACCUGCCAACACUCCAUUGGCUGACGAAUCAUUCUAUAGGACUAAACUUAUUAAUCUGCUACUGGGAACCGAAGCCUUCUAUGGAGCUCUAGCUGUGGGCCAGAUUCGCAUUGAUCCAAAUCUUCCUAGUUUGCAGAAGACUCUUUUAAGUUGGGUUGUUGCUGGAAGGUACCAACGCCAACAUAACAGAUUGCGACCAUUGUGCUUGGUGACUGUAGGAAAGUCGAUUGACAAAAAUGUGCAGCAAUUAUGGAAGUGGACUCAUUUGUCGAUCCAAGCGCUAGAAUUCUCCCAAAUCAUUUUCGCUGGGAGGACCAUUUCUGUGACACAACACAUGAGGAUGCCAGUGGGAGAAUUGUAGUGGGCGCAGUAUAUCUCUAAUAUGAGGGCCUCGGCCAUAUGUCCCUCGUACUCCUAACUUGGAGGAACUCUAUUAUUAUAUACCUCACCACUUCGCUUUGAAACCAAGCAGUACCUCGACGAAGCUCAGAGUUGUCUUUGACGCGCCUUGCCGUACAACAUCUCAAAGGUCACUUAACGAUCUACUCUUAGUCAGCCCUACCAUCCAGGAUGAGUUGUAGUUGCAAUUGCUACGGUUCCGCAUUCACAGGUUCGGCAUUACGGCUGACGUUACAAAAAUGUACAUGCAGGUACUUGUGAGUGAGAAGGAUAGAAAAUCACAGUACAUUUUGUGGCGAGCAUCUCCAAAUACGGAUCGUCAAGCCUACCAACUCAAUACCGUGACAUGUGGGACUGCGUCUGCCUCAUUUCUCGCAACUCGUAGUUUACAUUACUUGGCUGAGGAUUCUAAGGUUGUAUGGCUCUUAGGAGCAGCUGCUUGCCUUUUAUGGGGAUAACCUUUUGUGUGAGGCUGAUAUUAUAGAGAUACAUUCGUCAAACUAAAAACUGAAAUCACAUCAACUCUCCCUUGUGGUGAGUUUCCAUUAUGCAUGUGGCAUUCAAAUCAUCCAGGCAUGAUGGAAGAUGAAUCUACUAAGCAGCACACUUGGCGUAACUUGGCAUCAACGUUGUGAUGCAUUUAGUUUCACUUUCAAUCUAAAGGAAGUUUAUCCCACUACCACAAAACGAACAAUUUUGUCUACUGUGUCGUCGCUAUUCGAUCCAAUCGGUCUACUAUCACCGUUAGUCAUAUUCUCUUAGAUCAUUCUUCAGGAGUUGUGGCUUUUGAAACUCGACUGGGACAGCUCUGUCCCCCAGAAUUAAAGUCAUGCAUUGACCCGACACUAGGAGCAUUCAAAUACAUGGAUUUUACGACGCAUUUAUUCGGGCAUACGGCUGCUGUGCUAAUGUGCGCACGGAGGAUUCGCUUGGACAGGUCACAGAAAAAUUGUUCACUUCUAAGUCAAGAGUAGCACCAGUGAAGAAACAGUCUCUGCCGAACCUUGAACUAUGCGGUGCACAUCUACUUUCUCAGUUGUAUAACAAAAUCAAGGCCAUAUUCAGUAAAUUGUUAUGGGCGGUUUUGGAGAGAGCCGAUAAGUAUCAGGGCUGGAGAAGAAAGAGACAGCGGCAUCUAUAGUGGAUCCUGGGAAGCAGUGGCAGAGUUGCGUGGGAGAAAAGGAAACGGGUCGAGGAGGAAGAAAAGAAAGAGAGAGUUUCCGGUGGAGAAUAGUGGAGGCCGCACGUGCCCUAAAAGAAAAAAAAGGAAACAAAAUUGGUGAUCGUGGAGACGACGAUCCCACCAAGACAUCAGCGGCAGGCAUCAACAUCAACAUCAGCAGAAGCGGCGGACAGCGGCAGCAGCAUCCCGGUACUGGCCAGGCCGGAAAACUGGUGCGAGAACCGUCAGCGGAGCACCGACACCAAGGAACCGUCCGCGGAGCACCGACUGGAGACACGUUUCUGUCCCCACACACCAACCCCCCGGGGAAAGAAUCCGGACGUCAAAGCAGAAAUCAACCCACACGAAUCAAUGUCACACACCUUCAUCCACCCACAUCACACCCAACCCACGCAUGUAUACCCUCAUUCAUAACACAUCACAUAACAUCACCACAUUUCACCCAUCUACACCCGUCCGACCCACAAUUAAACAAUAUAUCACGAUCAUAUAAAAAA